CAACCUGGGUGUGUGCCCUGACUGGGAAUCAAACUUGUGACCUUCUGGUGUACAGGCCAUGCUCCAACCAACUGGGUCAUGCCUUUCUAGCUCUGUUUUUAUGUUUCCUAUCUUUUUGUUGAACUUCCCACUAAGUUCAUAUACUCUUCUCCUAAGUUUAUGGAGCAUCUUUAUAACCAGUGUUUUGCACUCCUGAGCAUCUAGCACAUUGCUUGUCUCCAUUGCAUUGAGUUCUUUCCUGGAGUUUUAUUCUGUUCUUUCAUUUGGGACACGCGUCUUGGUCUCCUCAUUUUGGCUGCCUCCCUCUGUUUGCUUCUAUGUCUUAGGUAGAGCUGCUAUGUCUCCUGGCCUUGUUCGAGUGGCCUUAUGUAGUAGGUGUCCUAUAGGGUCCAGUGGCACAGUCUCCCUGUUCCCUGAACUGGGCAAUCCAGGUGUGCCCCUUCUCCCGAUCCCUCUCUCAUGCGAGCUGGGUACACCCUCCCGUUAUAGUUCAGCCUUGAUUGCUGUUGAUACAUCCAUGGGAUUUACCCACAAGGCUGAGUGGCUACAAGGACUGGCUGUGCCCACCAUGGAAGAUCACCAUGGAGCAGGACUUACGCCAGCAGGGCUUUGGUGCCUGCUGAGUCUGCCUCUUGAGUGUGUCACUUAGAGGUGGUUGGGGGUUCUUCAUUGUGGACUGAAGCUGUCCACACGGUGUGCUGGCCCUGGGGGCCUCCUGGGACUUUCAGGUCAAGGUCAGCCAACGUGCGUUAGGCAAUUCUUGACUCCUGGGCUAGUGGUGGAGUGCACACUGGCUGUUACUUUCCUGAGGGUAUAGGAGUAAAAAUAAAAUUAAUGUGUAAACUUGAAUUACUUUCUUCCUCUGGGCUAUGGCUUUGCUUUCACUCGACAAUGAACGGUUGACCUUAAUAAUUUCCAAGAUAAUUCUAACAUAAGAUGCCUGGGCUAAGAUGUCUCUUUUCUAUUUCCUGACACACAAAAUAAAAUUUUAGUUAGCAUUCAAUGAUGUCUUCAUGCCUUUUCCUAUAACCCUCUCCCUCUGCCAAGAAACAGGUAACUUCCCGGCAUGGAUUAUUCCCAGGUCUCAGGCUGUGUGAGUGACUCGAAGACAACUCUGGAAUUGUCCUUUUUUGUUAAAGGUUUUAAAAAAUUGUGUUCUGGUAGGAAAUGGAGGCAGUAGAAUGUGAUUGUGAAUUCCCUAAAGUCAAAGGAGAACACAGUCUUCUCGCCUUUUGUGAUGCCACAUCGUGUUAUCUGCCCAUUACACCACGCUAUCAAACAAACCUGUUGGGUUUGGUUAGACUCUGCUCAUCUUCCACUGUGACGGCAAAACCAUCCGAAUGCUUGUAAUGCCUGAGCCCCACAGGGGGUGAGAAAGGCUGGCGGAGAAGUUAGAAGCAAGAAGAACACGCCACUGGGCGAGUCCCUGGUUGGGGCACGAAUGUGGGUGAGGAGUGGGCUCAGAGAUGUUUUGGGAAAUCAGGGUGAUGAAAGCAUUGUCAAUGAGCUCCCGCCAGAGGGAGGGCUAGUGUGCGGACCUGGCGUGGGAGAGCAGAAGAUAAAGCAAUGGGUGUCUGUGUGUAUUAGCUUGCAGGAGCUGCCAUAACAAAA